rnacentral:lncRNA from 1 species
GAAGCAUGAAAAGCUUGUCUCUCAAAGCAUCAUCAACACCAUUUAAAAAAAACUCUACCUUUAUAGCAUCCAAUGACCAUCUCUUUGAGGAUGAGAGUUGAUAAAAUUUUCUUUCAAAUUCUUCUAAGAAUUCAUAAAGAUCCAUAUGUUUGCUUGGUUGCAAUUCUAUCCAAUUCAAAAACUUUUGUUAGGUAAUCUCAUCCUCAUCUCUAUCAAUAAUCUCUUCCUUCAAAAGUUCUUAAAACUUUAACCACGUCUCCACACCCCCCCUCC